rnacentral:lncRNA from 1 species
CAAAUACAUAAAUAAUUAAAUCAAUACAUUACACAAAUAUAUGAAUACUUAAACAAAAUCACUUCUUGCAAGUCUACACAAAACAUUGCUUGCAAUUCUCCUUAGUUGGCUGACAAAUUGAAGAUUUCUUGCACUCCUUCAAUCAAGACAACACUCAAACAAUGUACAAUGAUAAAAAUCAACACCCAAACACCUCCAAUUUUCUUUUUCUGCCUGCUUCUUCGUUAUCAGCCAAGAACAAACAUCACACACAAAAUAAAAAGUUGUUUCUUCUCUUCUUCUCCUUCGAUUGCUGCCAAGAACAAUCAAGAGGUCAACAGCCUCUACAUCUUCCCUAUAUCUUUUUCCUGACAAAAAAAAAAUAAUAAAUAAAAUCGAACCACCUUUUUAAUAUAUUUUUUCUGCCUAUUUCAUCAUACUUCGAAUUGGCUGCCAAAUCACUAAGAAGAGGGUGCAAGGAGAUUACUGGAGACCCUUUUCCUUCCUUCCUAUCGACCCUCGCUGCCAAACCACCCUCACCGGAGCUGCUGUCGCUGAUCGUUUCUCCCAUCGCACCCCACACCUUCUCCGGUCAAGCAAAACCCACCGAAACCCCACCUGCGACGAUGUCGCUGCUUAUCGGACCUCUUCUGGCCUCACCCCUCGCGGUCUCUCUCUCUCUCUCUCUCUCUCUAUCUCUCUCUCUCUCUUCUGUUCCUAUCGAACAACGACCUCCGAAGGUCUCGUCUUCGCUGAUGUUGCUGCUCGCGACGCCUCCCCGGACCAAUCCUCCUACUCCCUUCGCACCUCACAGUUGGACGAGAAUCAGCGAAAUCCCGCUGCUUCGUCCCUUCGUUUCUUCGGCCGUGUUGACCCCGGAGACGCCUCCUGCUCGCGACCGAUCGACCAAAGCGUCGGAUUAGCCGCCUGCGUUGAGCUCCUUCCUACCGCCUUCGUUCAUCUGCCGACGCGUUCUAUCUGCUUUCGUUCGUUCCUUGAUCCCUCAAAACAGAAGACGGGACAUAGGGGGUGUUUGGGGUAUUUUUCAGAGGGAAAAGAACUUUUGGGAAAAUUCCAAAAAGUCUGGUUUUUUUGACUUUUUCCAAAAAGUUAGUUUUCUUUCUAAAAAAAUCCAAAAGGAGUUUUUAC